GCAGUGGGGCUGGUGUGCUGGAAACUGGUCCCUACUGUGACUGUGUGGUGUACAAAUGGCACUGAAUUUUCUCUUUGGGUAAAACAAUUUAAAAAAAAAAAAAAAAAAAAAAAAAAAGGAACGGCUCUCCCACACCGUGCUUGCUCUUUGCAGGGGACAACAGCAGAGGACAGCGCAUGUUCACGGCAAAUGAUCUACGAUUGGGAGCUGUGCACGCGGCGUGUUUGGCACAGACACUACACUCAGGAUGCUAAUUGAUCUGUGAUCGGUCGGUCAGAUGUCAGGGUCUGGACAGGGGGAUCCAUGCUCCCACUAAUGGAAGUGUCUCCCACUGACUGAAGACAGCUUUAACGUCUGUAUGACUGAAUCACACCCUAAUUCCUCACUAAGAGAUUCUAGACAGGGUCUCUCUGUGUAGCCCUGGUAGGCCUGGAACUCGGCAGCUGAAAACUUUUCAUACUUCUGCAAGCCCUGCCUCGGUCUCCCAAGCACCAGAUCACAGCUGUAUGCCACCGUAUUGGCUGCUGGACAUGGAACCCAGGACUGCAUAAAUACUAACCAAUCUACAGCUGAGCCACAUCCCCAGCCGUCAUAACAGUCAAGAUUUUUAUCAGCCCAGCAUGGUGGGGAUGUCACUGACCCCUGCCUCAAAUGUUCUGAUGUCAAGUUAAUAAAUGUCUGACAAUUGUUAUUAUUAA